rnacentral:rRNA from 1 species
ACACGGCCGACUGCAUAUCAAUAAGCGGAGGAGGCGUCUUCUGCGUCCGCAUUGCCUCUCAAGAAGUGUUUUCCGUUUCGGACCAUGCCUAAGUCUCUUGGAAAAGAGCAUCAUAGAGGGUGAUAAUCCCGUACAUGGCAUGGAGCGCCCGAGACUUUGUGAUACGCUUUCUAAGAGUCGAGUUGUUUGGGAAUGCAGCUCAAAAUGGGUGGUAAAUGCCAUCUAAGGCUAAAUAUUGGGGAGAGACCGAUAGCGAACAAGUACAGUGAUGGAAAGAUGAAAAGAACUUUGAAAAGAGAGUUAAACAGUACGUGAAAUUGCCAAAAGGGAAGGGUAGGAGGUCAGAGAUGCGGCCUAGGAUUCAGCCUUGCUUUUGCUUGGUGUUUUUCCCAGAUUGCAGGCCAACGUCGGUUUUGGGCACUGGAGAAGGGUAGGAGGAACGUGGCACCUCUCGGGGUGUGUUAUAGCCUCCUACUGGAUACAGCGACCGAGACCGAGGACAGCAGCGUACUCGCAAGAGCGGGCCUUCGGGCACCUUUACGCUUAGGGCGUUGGCAUAAUGGCCCUCUACCACCCGUCUUGA